CCCGCAACGAGCGCAACCCUUGCCUUUAGUUGCCAGCAGUUCGGCUGGGCACUCUAAAGGGACUGCCGGUGUUAAACCGGAGGAAGGUGGGGAGUGACGUCAAGUCCUCAUGGCCUUUAUGACCAGGGCUACACACGUACUACAAUGGCCGAUACAAAGGGCAGCGACACUGCGAGGUGAAGCCAAUCCCGUAAAAUCGGUCUCAGUCCGGAUUGGAGUCUGCAACUCGACUCCAUGAAGUUGGAAUCGCUAGUAAUCAUGGAUCAGCAUGCCACGGUGAAUACGUUCCCGGGCCUU
rnacentral:rRNA from 1 species